GGGAAGGUGGCUCAGUGGUAGAGCACUUGCCUUGCAUGCAUGAGGCCCUGGGUUCGAUUCCUCCGCACCA
rfam:Dipodomys ordii contig_9131, whole genome shotgun sequence.